rnacentral:rRNA from 1 species
GACGAACGCUGGCGGCGUGCUUAACACAUGCAAGUCGAGCGGUAAGGUCCUUUCGGGGGUACACGAGCGGCGAACGGGUGAGUAACACGUGGGUGACCUGCCCUCAGCUCUGGGAUAAGCCUGGGAAACCGGGUCUAAUACUGGAUAUGACUCCAUGACGCAUGUUGUGGGGUGGAAAGCCUUGUGCGGCUGAGGAUGGGCCCGCGGCCUAUCAGCUUGUUGGUGGGGNGAUGGCCUACCAAGGCGACGACGGGUAGCCGGCCUGAGAGGGCGACCGGCCACACUGGGACUGAGACACGGCCCAGACUCCUACGGGAGGCAGCAGUGGGGAAUCUUGCGCAAUGGGCGAAAGCCUGACGCAGCGACGCCGCGUGAGGGAUGACGGCCUCGG